rnacentral:rRNA from 1 species
GACGAACGCUUGCGGCGUGCUUAACACAUGCAAGUCGAACGGAAAGGCCCUGCUUUUGUGGGGUGCUCGAGUGGCGAACGGGUGAGUAACACGUGAGUAACCUGCCCUUGACUUUGGGAUAACUUCAGGAAACUGGGGCUAAUACCGGAUAGGAGCUCCUGCUGCAUGGUGGGGGUUGGAAAGUUUCGGCGGUUGGGGAUGGACCCGCGGCUUAUCAGCUUGUUGGUGGGGUAGUGGCUUACCAAGGCUUUGACGGGUAGCCGGCCUGAGAGGGUGACCGGCCACAUUGGGACUGAGAUACGGCCCAGACUCCUACGGGAGGCAGCAGUGGGGAAUAUUGCACAAUGGGCGGAAGCCUGAUGCAGCAACGCCGCGUGCGGGAUGACGGCCUUCGGGUUGUAAACCGCUUUCGCCUGUGACGAAGCGUGAGUGACGGUAAUGGGUAAAGAAGCACCGGCUAACUACGUGCCAGCAGCCGCGGUGAUACGUAGGGUGCGAGCGUUGUCCGGAUUUAUUGGGCGUAAAGGGCUCGUAGGUGGUUGAUCGCGUCGGAAGUGUAAUCUUGGGGCUUAACCCUGAGCGUGCUUUCGAUACGGGUUGACUUGAGGAAGGUAGGGGAGAAUGGAAUUCCUGGUGGAGCGGUGGAAUGCGCAGAUAUCAGGAGGAACACCAGUGGCGAAGGCGGUUCUCUGGGCCUUUCCUGACGCUGAGGAGCGAAAGCGUGGGGAGCGAACAGGCUUAGAUACCCUGGUAGUCCACGCUGUAAACGGCGGGUACUAGGUGUGGGGUCCAUUCCACGGGUUCCGUGCCGUAGCUAACGCUUUAAGUACCCCGCCUGGGGAGUACGGCCGCAAGGCUAAAACUCAAAGGAAUUGACGGGGCCCCGCACAAGCGGCGGAGCAUGCGGAUUAAUUCGAUGCAACGCGUAGAACCUUACCUGGGUUUGACAUGGAUCGGGAGCGCUCAGAGAUGGGUGUGCCUCUUUUGGGGUCGGUUCACAGGUGGUGCAUGGCUGUCGUCAGCUCGUGUCGUGAGAUGUUGGGUUAAGUCCCGCAACGAGCGCAACCCUUGUUCACUGUUGCCAGCACGUUAUGGUGGGGACUCAGUGGAGACCGCCGGGGUCAACUCGGAGGAAGGUGGGGAUGACGUCAAGUCACCAUGCCCCUUAUGUCCAGGGCUUCACGCAUGCUACAAUGGCUGGUACAGAGAGUGGCGAGCCUGUGAGGGUGAGCGAAUCUCGGAAAGCCGGUCUCAGUUCGGAUUGGGGUCUGCAACUCGACCUCAUGAAGUCGGAGUCGCUAGUAAUCGCAGAUCAGCAACGCUGCGGUGAAUACGUUCCCGGGGCU